rnacentral:lncRNA from 1 species
GAGGUAGUGCAUGUGUGGAGGUGAUGACCACCUUGCAUGGAAGCGCCCCGUCUCUUCGGAGGCGUGCAGAGGGUUGCGUACCGCUGGAGGGUAUGAUCGCUUCUGCUAGGGAUCUUUAAAAUCCACCCAUAUCCAUUUAGAGCCACCUUGACCUCGUAGGUUGAGCCGUAGAUCCUUCGAUUAGGACUCCCUCCCUACACGUGGGUGCAUCUGAGGG